ACUCCUACGGGAGGCAGCAGUGGGGAAUAUUGCACAAUGGGGAAGCCAUCGAUGCAGCAACGACCGCGUGAGUGAUGACGGUCUUCGGAUUGUAAAGCUCUGUCUUCAGGGACGAUAAUGACGGUACCUGAGGAGGAAGCCACGGCUAACUACGUGCCAGCAGCCGCGGUAAUACGUAGGUGGCAAGCGUUGUCCGGAUUUACUGGGCGUAAAGGGAGCGUAGGUGGAUAUUUAAGUGGGAUGUGAAAUACUCGGGCUUAACCUGGGUGCUGCAUUCCAAACUGGAUAUCUAGAGUGCAGGAGAGGAAAGUAGAAUUCCUAGUGUAGCGGUGAAAUGCGUAGAGAUUAGGAAGAAUACCAGUGGCGAAGGCGACUUUCUGGACUGUAACUGACACUGAGGCUCGAAAGCGUGGGGAGCAAACAGGAUUAGAUACCCUGGUAGGAUAGCG
rnacentral:rRNA from 1 species